AAUCACAGAGGCAGACCAGCGGGAGCCACGGUCCCUCCUAGGCCGUUGCCGUGACCUCGAACUCCGAGUUCUCAUCUGUAAAAUGAUGGAAAGGCAUUUCCCUUGGCUUGCCCUUGAGAAGAUAAAUGAGAUCCUGCCUGGGCAGCCCCACCACAGUGCUUGAUUCCUCCGGACACUUGGAAGAUGAGCGGACCGGCCAUCAUCCAGCUCUGCUCCCAGAAAUACAGGAUGUCAGGCAACCUGGUCUCGGAGCCCGUGCUGGUGUUGGGGACCACUGGGGCCACGUCACAGGAGACGAGCCUCUUUCCCGAGCCCUGAAACGCCCCUCACCAAACCCCUCACUUCCUAAACCGGAGGGUCCGUCCAGCGCCUUGCAUUAAUAAACUAAUCCUCUGGCUCAAAUUCA